rnacentral:tRNA from 1 species
AGCUGUGUAGCCUAAUGGAUAAGGUAUCUGAUUUUGGAUCAUAAGAUUCAGGUUCCAAGUCCCUUCAUGGUUG